rnacentral:rRNA from 1 species
GAUGAACGCUGGCGGCGUGCCUAAUACAUGCAAGUCGAGCGAACAGACGAGGAGCUUGCUCCUCUGACGUUAGCGGCGGACGGGUGAGUAACACGUGGAUAACCUACCUAUAAGACUGGGAUAACUUCGGGAAACCGGAGCUAAUACCGGAUCAUAUAUUGAACCGCAUGGUUCAAUAGUGAAAGACGGUUUUGCUGUCCCUUAUAGAUGGAUCCGCGCCGCAUUAGCUAGUUGGUAAGGUAACGGCUUACCAAGGCAACGAUGCGUAGCCGACCUGAGAGGGUGAUCGGCCACACUGGAACUGAGACACGGUCCAGACUCCUACGGGAGGCAGCAGUAGGGAAUCUUCCGCAAUGGGCGAAAGCCUGACGGAGCAACGCCGCGUGAGUGAUGAAGGUCUUCGGAUCGUAAAACUCUGUUAUUAGGGAAGAACAAAUGUGUAAGUAACUAUGCAUGUCUUGACGGUACCUAAUCAGAAAGCCACGGCUAACUACGCG